AUUUUGAAAUGUAGUUUAGUUUGGAGUCAAUUGUAAUAAGAUCUGUUUCUAAAUUAUCUUUGAAUCGUCUAGAGUCAAGACCAUAACCAUCAGUUCUAUUAAACAUGCAACAGAACUUUAAAAUUAAAAGACCACAAGUUCACAACUUCACGAGCUAAGACCUUCUCCAUCGGUAGUCUCUUAGAGGGGUUCAUAUUGUUUUGGAGGAAAAAAACAAUUCAGAACAAAAGAAAAAAAGGUAAGGGAGGUUGUUAUAUAGUAUACUCAUCAUUGCUCUAAGCGACGCUACGUGUCGUUUUUGUGUUGGCCAAAAAAUAAAUACAAAGGAGAAAUUUUUUUUUGGGAAGCUCGAUUUUGAUCGUCCCGAACCGAGAAAAGAUGGAAUUUGAAGGUGUUUGGAAUCGAAGGAGAAGGUUCACUUCCUUUGUUUCGAAAUUAUAAGGGUUACUUCGAUUCGCAUUCUUCUUCUUCGUCUCCAUCUCCAGCUUGACAAUGGAUCUUGAACGUCUUUUUAGCAGAUACGGAAGGUGCAAGAGCUUUAUGAGCAUUCUGCAGAAUAUGAAGGGAAGCAUGAACCAAAAAAGCUAGAGGAGCUAGGGAAUGUAUUCUUGCUCAUCAAUCUCUUGGCUUAUGCAAUUGCAUGAUCUAUGUGUGGAAUUGAGAUGAUAGCUUUGGAAGUCACAUAUCGUUUCAACGAUUUUGCAUCCCCUGUACUGACUAAUAGCGAUUUUGUUGGUCCAGAGCCAACAACAGAUCGGUUUGUGG